rnacentral:misc_RNA from 1 species
AACGCACAUUGCGCCCGCCAGCAUUCUGGCGGGCAUGCCUGUUCGAGCGUCAUUUCAACCCUCAUGCCCCUAGGGCGUGGUGUUGGGGAUCGGCCAAGGCCCGCAAGGGACGGCCGGCCCCUAAAUCUAGUGGCGGACCCGUCGUGGCCUCCUCUGCGAAGUAGUGAUAUUCCGCAUCGGAGAGCGACGAGCCCCUGCCGUUAAACCCCCAACUUUCCAAGGUUGACCUCAGAUCAGGUAGGAAUACCCGCUGAACUUAA